GACCAGAGGAGUAAAGGGGUGUCUCCUUGCUGGUUGCAGAAGCUCAAGGGAGAGCCAGAAGAUGGGUUCUGGUGGUACUGGCAUUCAGUGAGGAAGGAGAGGAGUGGAGAAUUUCAGCCCUGAGGCUCCAGGAUGGGGGUGAAGACUCUGCAGAGCAGCAACCAUUUAUUGAACUUUGUUACCCUGGGAAGAGGACUAACCUUAAAGGAAUAACAUGGCUGGAGAUCUGGGGUGAGAACAACUAAUAAGAACGACUGAAUUUGGCCCAGUGGCCUCAAGCAAGUGGAUGCAGAGGGGACUCAGAACUGUGCAGUAUCUGACUGUUUCAUAAUGGACAGCUCCACCCAUGGUAUUCGUUUUUAUUCAAUAUAUCCAAUGUAAGUGGUAUUCAGGCAGGCUGGAGAAUGUAUGAUGACAAUACAUGGGUGGAUUUGGCAGCUGGUCAAAGGGAGCGAGCAGCCAUUGUAAAAAUGAAAGAAUAUGAAUCUCUGCCCCCAAAAAUCUCUCCCUUUAGUGAACACUGGUCUAAAAUUGUUUUUCAUUCUGGGAAUGUAAUUUUGAUUCUAAGAACAUUUCUACUGGA